UGAAACUAGAUAUUUAAGGCAACGGAGAAAGCAAUUCACGUUGACUCUCAGCGGGCGCGCGAGCAGAGAAACGUGUUCUGUAUCUGUCUAUAGUAAUCUGAGAGUGUUCUGCUGUGUAAAACGCUUCUUAUAACGUGACCGGGGAGAGAAAAGGGGACGGAUUGAGCGCUCGACGCACGCGGGGGCGUUUUUUUUAGGAGGACGGUGGAUGUCCGCUAGCGCGCACCCAAGAGCUCGUCACCUUUGAGAAGAGCGCGUGGACCGAGCUCUCCACCGCUGAACUCCAGCUGCAGAUCUAAAAUCAUGAGGGGGAUGAAGUGUGCUGUCAGCAUGCUGGAAACGCUAAACCGAAUUGUAGGAGGGAGAAACCUGAUAAUGCAGCAGAAGUGGAGGAGAUGAAGGUGACCUGUGGCUGGGCCAGGGGCUGCAACACAGGACAUGGGAGCCGCUUCUCACUCCCGCUCGUGUCUUGUGUUGCAGCCAGUGGAACGGCUACGCUGUCCGCAUCAGAGACAACCGUCGCUUGGAGAACGUUCAGCAGGACCCACUGGUGGCAUUAUGCUCAUCUCAUCUGCUGCUUCCAGGACAACAAACUGAUGAUUAGUAAGAUUCUCAAUAAAGACUUUUGAAAUGUAUCUGUAAUCUUCGGAAGUUAAUGCGAGUUAAUAUAACCACCAUACUAUCAGCAUCGGCUGAUAUCAAUCUGGAUAAUCGGCUAUCUGUAUCGGUGGAGAAACGUAGUAUCAUGUGUCUUUAAAAUGUACAGUAUAUGUUAAGUAUAAAGUCAAAGCAUAAAUAAGAUUAUAAUGAAAAUAGUAAUUUGGGGUAAUUGUUUAUUGGUAUUUAUUAUAAUAUAAAAUUAUUAUUUACAUUUAUUAUUAUUAUUAUUAUUAUUAUUGAAAAACAAAUAUAUGGUCAAGCUAUUUAAAUGAUAGGAAUAUGGUGGAGGACUUUUUUAAAAUAACCAAAUGACAAACAUGCCAUUUUGUUGUCAUGUGACAUAAAAAUACAAUAAAACAUUGACCCAAUAACAAGAUACAAAUACACAUUGAAAGAGCAUUUUGAUAAUCUUUAUUACACUUUAGUAAAAAUUCUGGAUUAUUUUUAACCCAGCCUUAGGCCAAAAAUAAUUAACCCAACUGUUUAGUUGUAAAUUAACCUAAGAUUGGUUGUUCAAGCCAUUAUUGGUUUUAAUAUAAACCAUUUUCUGGGUUGAUUUAAUGAUUUAUUUUUGUCCCUUUUUGACCCAACGCUGGGUUGAAAAUAAACACAGUAACAGAGAUUAUGUCAACACUAACACACCUAUGCUUAGAAAUUGAACAUGUGCACACUUCAGUUAGACUCCAUUGCAUUUAUUUGUAUAGCACGGCACAUUUUCUUCAAAGCAGCUUUACAGAAAAUAGAGAAGUUUCUGGUGCCUUGUGUCUCCCUCAAGGUUAUGUAUGAAUAACACGGGUAAAGAACAAGCUUGCAUUCGCUUUACACACAAAUAUAUUCACACUCACACGGCCUCAGAUGAGACAUUCACUGCCAGGUGUAAAUAUUCGGAUCAUGUUGCUGCGCUGCAAAACUGAGACGCGCCUGAGCUGAAGAAAGGCAAGUUGUGCCGGCCAUUUAAAGGGCUAAAAUGAAGUUGUUUUCUCUCAGCUUUAUUGAAAUUUAAAUUUAAGAAUAGCUUGGAGACACAAAUUGUUUGUGAGGAUCUGAAUCCAACAUGACAGGAGUGGCUUUUCUGUAGAAAAGUUUUUUUUUAAUAUAAAGGUUCAAUGUGUAAUUUUUUUUAGAUAAUCCAUUGACAGAAAUGCGGUAUAAUAUACAUAAUUAUGUGUUCAGAGGUGUAUAAAGACUUUACAUAAUGAAGCGCUAUGUUUUUAUUACCUUAGAAUGAGCUAUUCCUAUCUACAUACACCGCGGGUCCCCUUACAUGGAAUUUGUCAUGUUGUGUCUACAGUAGCCCUAAACGAACAAACUGCUCGACAGAGCGCGUUUCGUAAAUACGUUAUCUCCUUCGGCAAAGAAGCAAAAAUGUGACGACAUCUUAGUCCUGUGUCAGCCACCGUAGUGCAUCGAAAGAGAAGGGUGGAGUGAGCCGUUGGUUGCAAUUCACAACCUCACCGCUAGAUGCCGCUUAAUUCCAUACACUGGACCUAAAUCAAUAAAUAUCAAAUUAUUAAGUUAACUUGUUUAUUAUUAAGUUAACUAAGUUGAUCAAGACUAGAUCAUUACACAAACGUAUUCGACCACAAAAUGCAGUAACUGAAAAUCUUGUAUCCCAGACGGCCAUGUAAUAAUUAUACUUAAAUAUGUACAUAAACAAGCCUGUUCUUCUAAAAACUGCAUUUUUAUUGUCUGCAUCAGGCAAACGACAACAACAUCAGAUAUUUAGCACAAGACAAGCCAUAAAAGCCACAUGUGACAAGAAGCCAUCUGCAUUUCAAAGAUUUUUCUGCUCAGUGUGAACCGUAACCAGUCCUUUCCACACCUGAAUGUUGACAGCAUGUUGAGUCAGAAUGCUUUAUUGUGACAGGCUGUGUAACUAAUGGGUACAUCGGUUGGUUUUGUCAUCGCUGGUCUCUUAAUUACCUUUCAGCAUGGAUGUGAAAACUAAGUGCUUUCGCUGCAAGACAGGUCACUGGCUUGUUGCCAUGCCCUUUAGAUUUGUACUUAACCUUUCUGUAGGUGCAUUACAUCAAACUGUGUCCAGGUGCUGGUGUAACUGCAGAGAUGCAGUUUCCUCUCAACAGAUCUAUAAAUCAAGCCCUUCAUCAGCAAUACUCAUUUGUAUUCAUUUACACAUUCAAGGUCAAUUCUAUGUUGAGCUGUGGACAUCAGAAACGUUCAUACGAAAACUCUUUUCACAGUAAAGAAAAAUGGGUUGUCAUGUAUUUAAAAAAAUGACUUCAUGUCUGGUUUCUUCAAGUUGAAAUAUAAUGUCAUAUCAAUGUUAUACCAAAUAAAUAUUCAAAUGUAAAAACAUUAAGCGACCCAUUUUAUGAAAAUCGAAACGGUAAAAGGCUGCUUUUCCAAAAAGUUUCUCAGGGUCAAAAAUCACUCCUUAAGGUAAAAAAUUCAUAUUGUUACUUUUAUAAUGCUUGAAAAUUACAAAAUAAACAGUAUUAUGGGUGUGCCAUUUUGAGUCAAAACUUGAAAUAUAAAUUCUCAGAGAAUGUAUUUAUUACUGUAUUGAAUCAUUUGCUUAUAUUUUACUAAACCCCUGAUGGUGGAGUCCAGACAUCAGAAAAAUAUCAGUCUAAGCAUACGUUUUCUAUUUGAAAAGAGAGAAAUGAAUGCGUUAUGGAUGUGACAAAAAAAUUACACGUUUUUGAUAGACGACAUAAAUUGUAGGAUUUCUGAGGAUUAAAAUGUGCAAACCAGAAGCAAUAAUACCCAACAAAUGAAGAAGGGAUAGCUCUUCACAGACCACAAAAUAGUUUUUUAUUUAAUUUCCAUGUUCCUAUUUAUGAUAAAUAUGGACCGUUAUGGAUGUGUCAGUUCGGUUAUGCAUGUUACACUUUACUUACCUGACUAUGGAAAACAGUUGUUUAUAUCAUAGCAGUCUCUUGUCAAAUGUAAAAUUUUUCUGGUUCAGUUUAAAAGACUAAAGCAUAUGAGAAAAGGUUUCAAAUGUCCUUGAGAAAGUGCAGAGCAUUUUAGUUGUGUGGGUGAGUGGGUUACUGAGCCCCUGUUAAAGAGCAUUCAGCUGUGACAGAAUGCGCAGACUGUGAGUUUUAUUGCUACCACGGCAAGCUGUAGCAGAGUGCUCGAGUCUGCCUUUGAUAACACAGACGUCGCCCUGCAGUCGCCUCGCCGGGGUUUUUGCCUGUGAUGGGAGAAAUAAUGUGGACUGAUUUAACGAAACAACCCACUAUUGCAGUAUUUUUAACACAUAUUUUUCAAUAAAACCUGCUGGUUUAUAAAAAGGACAGACUCUCUCACAGAUAACAACAAAGCUGUUAACGUGGUCACCUAAUAGAAAAAAAUACAAAUAAAAUAAUCUUUAAUCGAUAAUUGUCAAAUUCCCUAUUUACGUGGCAAACACUUCUAUACUUCUAUAUUGAAAACGUCUCAAAAUUGCUUUCCUAUAAUUUUAUUUUGUUUUAUUCCAUAAUGUUUUACUUUUUACUGUCUAGCUAGCAUCUUAUUUUAGCAGUGUCUGAUGUGUCCAUGUGUAUGAAGUUUAGCGGCAUCUAGCAGUGAGGUUGUGAAUGGCAACCGACGGCUCACUCCACCCUCUCCACCGUUGGACCUUUAAGUGACCGAAUAUGUUUCUCAAAAAUGUAGCAAACUAACUUAUCAUCCCAUCUGUUGUAUUAAAACUUGAAAUACUUAACGUGGGAAGACUGCGGUGUGUGGCAAAAACACAGAGAGGUCAAAUGGAGGACAGGAAAACCAGACAAGGUGACCCGAUCCGUGCCAGUCUAUUUCAGAUGGCUGACAAGCUCUGCCUCUCCACUCUCUGUCAUGGUUUAUUCAUUCCUCACCCCGGGGAAGAAAACACCGAUGAGAGCCAUGCCAAAAAAUAAAUAUGCUUAGUGGCAAAAGUUUAAGUAAAUUUAUUUUAGCCAAAGAAAGAAGAUGAUUGAUGAUGUACUGAUAGAUCAGUGGAUUGUGAAAUGAACAUGCUGCUUUCUCCUGGUGCUUAAAAAAGAGCAGGCAGAAACAUGACAGAAAAAUCUUGUUUUAAUUAAAAGGGUUUUAUAAAAGACAUUUUUUUAAUGCACUGUACAAAUGUGCUGACAAGCUUAAAAUAGGCCUAUGUAUGUAUAAUAUCUCAAUUCUCGUACAUUUUUAUUUUAUGGCUAAAUCAAGACAACCUGCAGCACCAUCCAAAGUUACAUCCUCAAAGGGAUAGUUCACCCGAAAAUGAAUAUGUCCUUCCAGACCUGUAUUUUGCAGAACACAAAAGAAUAUAUUUAGAAGAAUGUCGGUAACUAAACAACACUGGCCACCAUUGACUAACAUUGUAUGAACACAAAACACUGAGACAUUUCUCAAAAUAUCUCCUUUUGUCCUCCACAGAAGAAAGAGUCAUAUACAGGUUUUGAACUGGGUGGGAGUGAAGAAAUGAUGACAAAAUUUGACGACAGGAUUUUUAUCCCUUUAAAGUAACAACAAGCAAACAAACUAUUUUUUUGUCUGAAUGUUGUCUCUUGAUGUAAACUCAUAAAAUGUUGCCCGAUUGUUAUUUGUGUGAGGUUUUGGGAUGUUUGUUUGAUGGCCAGCAGCUAACAGCACCUCAGUGUGUAGCGGCGCUGAAGGGUGUCAUUGUACUCGGUUUUGAUAAAUGUGAGGGGGAGUGAGGGAAGGAACAAUUCCAGCAGUGUUAUCAGGAGCGAGCAGUCAAGAGUCUGGGGGUCCCAUCUGCAGGGACGACAUCACAGCUCGCCUUCCUUCACUACUGCACACAGGCUCUUACAACUGAGGAAUGGCGAUUCUUCAAUAUAUGUAUUUAUGAUGUCUGCUGUCUUAUUUGUUGAUAAGGACAAGUGAUGCUAUUAUUUAAUCAUGCAGAUGACAUUCUUUUUACCACUGUUCUUAUUUUGCUGCUUUGAUUAUUCCGUCCAAGUCAUCCAUUUAUUUUUAAUGAAAACAUUUAUUUUUAUUUUUAAUAUAAAAUCGGAUUAUUUCAUUUUAUAUAAUAUACAUAUUUUCUUACUUUUUAUUCCUAUUUUUGAUUUUUCAUUCAAGUAAUUCUAUUAUUUUCUAA